rnacentral:lncRNA from 1 species
GUGUGGCUGUACGUUGGCAGGACCACGCCACAGAGUGCCGGCGCCCUGCUCCUCCCAGGAUGCUGUCCUUCCCUCUUUCGUCUGCCCGAACGCUGCCCACAGACUCAGCCCCGCCCGUCUGCCAGCCCCAGCACCCAGGCCGUCCUCUUCGGGGCCCUGCCACCCAUCCCACCUUUCCCACCCACACCCUGGCUCCUCCAUCUGCUUUUGUCCCGGCGAGGUGGAGGGUCUGCAGAGGGGCGCUGUGGCACCCACCUCCUUCCUACUUUCUCAUUUGGUUUCAAAAGUGCAUGGCAAGAGCUGGCCCCAGGCCGAGUGGUUAAGUUCAUGCACUCUGCUUUCGUGGCCCGGAGUUCACUGGUUCGGAUCGUAGGCACAGACCGACACACUGCUCAUCAAGCCGUGCUGAGGACUACUAGAAGGACCUACAACCAGGAUAUACAACUCUGUACUGGGACUUUGGGGAGAGAAAAAAAAUGUGCACGUCAGGAAGACAUGGCAACACAGAGAAGCAGGAAGCUGAACAGGAGCACAAACUGGUUCAGCAGUUUUUCAAAGGAAACAUCAAUUGUGCUGCUUUGUCCCGCCGACGGUGCUCACAGGCUCCUGCAACACAGUGGACAUAGGGGCCAUUCCCUCUGAGCGCCCCUGGCCCCGGAGAGCUCCGAGGGACCUCAGGCUCCUGCAGGCUCCAUCUGCAAGGCCCCUGUCUCACCAGGGAGAGCAAUGCUUUUUUUUUUUUUUUUUCAUUCAGGUAAAUGUUCUUCAAGUUUUAAUUAUUAUCCAAAAAGGGCAAACUUCUUAAAGUAGUUUUUGGUAUGGAUUUAAUUAGCAUGAGAUAAACGUCACAUUUCUUUCCUACGAAAUACAAGUUACCGUGUUUAUUUUAGGAGCGACAGGGAUCUGAUGAGCUGGGUUGCUAUGCAGCCCCAUAAAUAUGUGUAUUCAUCGCACAGGUUGUAGUCUCUUAAUAAAUUUCAUUAACUUGGUUAUAGCUUGGGGGCA